rnacentral:tRNA from 1 species
GUAGAGUGGCCGAGAGUAGGUGGCAGGCUGUAGUCCUGCAUACAUAGGUAUUAGUCCCGUUUCUAUC